ACUCCUACGGGAGGCAGCAGUGAGGAAUAUUGGUCAAUGGGCGCAAGCCUGAACCAGCCAUGCCGCGUGCAGGAUGACGGUCCUAUGGAUUGUAAACUGCUUUUGUACGGGAAGAAACACUCCUUCGUGAAGGAGCUUGACGGUACCGUAAGAAUAAGGAUCGGCUAACUCCGUGCCAGCAGCCGCGGUAAUACGGAGGAUCCAAGCGUUAUCCGGAAUCAUUGGGUUUAAAGGGUCCGUAGGCGGUUUUAUAAGUCAGUGGUGAAAUCCGGCAGCUCAACUGUCGAACUGCCAUUGAUACUGUAGAACUUGAAUUAUUGUGAAGUAACUAGAAUAUGUAGUGUAGCGGUGAAAUGCUUAGAGAUUACAUGGAAUACCAAUUGCGAAGGCAGGUUACUAACAAUAUAUUGACGCUGAUGGACGAAAGCGUGGGUAGCGAACAGGAUUAGAUACCCUGGUAGCGACUG
rnacentral:rRNA from 1 species